GGCAAUGUGGCUUAGUGGAAAGAGCAUGGGCUUGGGAGCCAUAGGUGAUGGGUUCUAAUCCCAGCUCUGCUA
rnacentral:tRNA from 1 species